GGCCUCCUGGUGCUUGCCUCAGGCUAUGUUCCUUACACUGACUAUAGAAAGAUGAGGCAAAGUAAACCUGCCCCAUCUAUACCACAGCCCUGCUUCUGUGCCAGGUCUGUAUUGUAAAUGGGGAGACUACU
rnacentral:snoRNA from 1 species